CAGUCUGGUGCCAGCAGCCGCGGUAAUUCCAGCUCCAAUAGCGUAUAUUAAAGUUGUUGCAGUUAAAAAGCUCGUAGUUGAAUUUCGGGGUUAGUAGGUUGGUCAUGCCUCUGGUAUGCACUGGCCUCACUGAUUCCUCCUUCCUGAUGAGCCGUAAUGCCAUUAAUUUGGUGUUGCGGGGAAUUUGGACUGUUACUUUGAAAAAAUUAGAGUGUUUAAAGCAAGCUAACGCUUGAAUACAUUAGCAUGGAAUAAUGAAAUAGGACGUUCGAUCCUAUUUUGUUGGUUUCUAGGAUUGACGUAAUGAUUAAUAGGGAUAGUUGGGGGCAUUAGUAUUCAAUUGUCAGAGGUGAAAUUCUUGGAUUUAUUGAAGACUAACUACUGCGAAAGCAUUUGCCAAGGAUGUUUUCAUUAAUCAAGAACGAAGGUUAGGGGAUCGAAGACGAUCAGAUACCGUCGUAGUCUUAACCAUAAACUAUGCCGACUAGGGAUCGGAUGAUGUUAAUUUUUAAUGACUCA
rnacentral:rRNA from 2 species